rnacentral:tRNA from 1 species
UACUUAGCUCAGUUGGUAGAGCGCUCGGCUGUUAACCGAAUGGUCGUAGGUUCAAGUCCUACAGUA